rnacentral:rRNA from 1 species
GACGAACGCUGGCGGCGCGCCUAACACAUGCAAGUCGAACGAGCGAGCGAGAGCUUGCUUUCUUGAGCGAGUGGCGAACGGGUGAGUAACGCGUGAGGAACCUGCCUCAAAGAGGGGGACAACAGUUGGAAACGACUGCUAAUACCGCAUAAGCCCACGGUGCCGCAUGGCACAGAGGGAAAAGGAGCAAUCCGCUUUGAGAUGGCCUCGCGUCCGAUUAGCUAGUUGGUGAGGUAACGGCCCACCAAGGCGACGAUCGGUAGCCGGACUGAGAGGUUGAACGGCCACAUUGGGACUGAGACACGGCCCAGACUCCUACGGGAGGAAGCAGUGGGGAAUAUUGCACAAUGGGGGAAACCCUGAUGCAGCGACGCCGCGUGGAGGAAGAAGGUCUUCGGAUUGUAAACUCCUGUUGUUGGGGAAGAUAAUGACGGUACCCAACAAGGAAGUGACGGCUAACUACGUG